UACGUAGGGGGCAAGCGUUGUCCGGAAUCAUUGGGCGUAAAGCGCGUGUAGGCGGCUUGGUAAGUCCGCUCUGAAAGCCCGGGGCUCAACCCCGGGAGGCGGGUGGAUACUGUCAAGCUCGAGUCCGGAAGAGGCGAGUGGAAUUCCUGGUGUAGCGGUGAAAUGCGCAGAUAUCAAGAGGAACACCUGCGGCGAAGGCGGGUUGCUGGGCCGACACUGACGCUGAAGCGCGAAAGCUAGGGGAGCGAACGGG
rnacentral:rRNA from 1 species